UACGUAGGGGGCGAGCGUUGUCCGGAUUUAUUGGGCGUAAAGAGCUCGUAGGCCGUUCGGUAAGUCAGAUGUGAAAACUCCAGGCUCAACUUGGAGACGCCAUCUGAUACUGCCGUGACUAGAGUCCGGUAGGGGAGCACGGAAUUCCUGGUGUAGCGGUGAAAUGCGCAGAUAUCAGGAGGAACACCAGCGGCGAAGGCGGUGCUCUGGGCCGGAACUGACGCUGAGGAGCGAAAGCGUGGGGAGCAAACAGG
rnacentral:rRNA from 1 species